rnacentral:rRNA from 1 species
AACGAACGUUGGCGGCGUGGAUGAGGCAUGCAAGUCGAACGCGAAAGCCGCAAGGCGAGUAAAGUGGCGGACGGGCGAGUAACACGUAAUCAAGCUACCUGCGAGACGGGGAUAACUUCGGGAAACCGAAGCUAAGACCCGGAUGGUCUUCUAGGAACGCAUGUUCCAUGAAGUAAAUGGGCGGGAUCCUCCGGGAUCGCCUGCUCGCAGAGGUGAUUGCGGCCCAUCAGCUAGUUGGUAGGGUAAUGGCCUACCAAGGCAACGACGGGUAGCCGGCCUUAGAGGGUGGUCGGCCGCACUGGGACUGAGACACUGCCCAGACUCCUACGGGAGGCUGCAGUCGAGAAUCUCCCGCAAUGGGCGAAAGCCUGACGGAGCGACGCCGCGUGGAGGAUGAA